UACGAAGGGGGCUAGCGUUGCUCGGAAUCACUGGGCGUAAAGCGCACGUAGGCGGAUUGUUAAGUCAGGGGUGAAAUCCUGGAGCUCAACUCCAGAACUGCCUUUGAUACUGGCGAUCUCGAGUCCGGGAGAGGUGAGUGGAACUGCGAGUGUAGAGGUGAAAUUCGUAGAUAUUCGCAAGAACGACCAGUGGCGAAGGCGCUCACUGGCCCGGUACUGACGCUGAGGUGCGAAAGCG
rnacentral:rRNA from 1 species